rnacentral:ncRNA from 1 species
UUUUUUUAAAGCGCCUGGACAGUAUUUAAUAACUGUUGACGAGGAAAGAGCUUAUCGAAAGAUUCGGCGGAUGGCUCUAUGGUAACGUUACUACCAUAAAAGAACUUGUAAAAAAAUAACAGUAAUGUUAUAGAACAAAGCAGGUUCU